rnacentral:rRNA from 1 species
CCACACGGUAAACGAUGAAUACUCGCUGUUUGCGAUAUACAGCAAGCGGCCAAGCGAAAGCGUUAAGUAUUCCACCUGGGGAGUACGCCGGCAACGGUGAAACUCAAAGGAAUUGACGGGGGCCCGCACAAGCGGAGGAACAUGUGGUUUAAUUCGAUGAUACGCGAGGAACCUUACCCGGGCUUAAAUUGCAGAUGAAUUACGGUGAAAGCCGUAAGCCGCAAGGCAUCUGUGAAGGUGCUGCAUGGUUGU